AUUGAACGCUGGCGGCAUGCCUUACACAUGCAAGUCGAACGGUAACAGGGGCUUCGGCCCGCUGACGAGUGGCGGACGGGUGAGUAAUACAUCGGAAUGUACCCAGUAGUGGGGGAUAGCUCGGCGAAAGCCGGAUUAAUACCGCAUACGCACUGUGGUGGAAAGCGGGGGACCUUCGGGCCUCGUGCUAUUGGAGCAGCCGAUGUCAGAUUAGCUAGUUGGUGGGGUAAAAGCCUACCAAGGCGACGAUCUGUAACUGGUCUGAGAGGACGACCAGUCACACUGGGACUGAGACACGGCCCAG
rnacentral:rRNA from 1 species